UCGAACGAACCACGCGUCAUUUACGGGCUCUUGUACGUUCUGUCUCUCGCAAAAAGCGUCAAAAGCUUUCGCGGUGAUUAUGUUUACUGACAAUUCAUCUUGAACGGACGAUCGCGAACGUUUCAUUCGAUGUUCUGCCGGCUCGUCAAUUCUUUUACAUGUGGACUGCAGCGCGAAUUCUUUCUCUCGUAUUCGGGCGAAUGUUUUUUACUCGACUUCACCAGUUGACAGUUUUUGCCCACUCCCGGUGACUCUUCCAGUGUCGGCGUUUUGGUCGAAAUUUCAUGGAGCACCUAACUCAAUCUCAAACUGGAGCCCCGGUGCGGUUCAUUCGGUGGAUAUAGUCACAGAUAGAAAGGACCCGAUCGUUGAGAGAUCCAUCAUUAUGGGGUGAUCAUUCGCAAGGAUCGGAAUGUCGUGAGCGUGAUGCGACUGCACCGUAGCUGAUAAUAGGAGUGAAACUGCAGAUUCACUCGAAUGAGGAAUAAUACCGGGUGUGCGAACGCGAGAAUAUGCUGUUGAAAAUUUUCCAAUGCCGACGUUGGACAACUAUGCGUGACUUAUCGAAGCGACGAAAAUUCAAACUAUUUUCAAGCGCAUAACUUUGACGAAAACUUUUCAUGCUUCGCUGAGAUUGUAAGGCGAAAUCCAGCGGAAUGGGAGAUACGCUAAAGUACAACAGAGAGACUUUACCGCUCAGCGACGCGAAUAAGAAAGGCGAGGAGAAAAACCGAACCGAAAAAGUGGGAUAAAACUUCAGGGAUAUAAUUGGAUCGAAUUGCCCGCCGUUUUAGGCCACCAUCUCGCCGAAGGGAUGAGACACCGCGGUGUCCGAGCAACGGCUUGAAUAUGCAUGAUGAGAACCACAGGAACGCACGUGCGCUACGAGACUUGUCGAGGAAGGAGAAAAAAGCUUGGAAAAAGUGCCACGCUUCGCAGCCUAGAACACACAAGCACAGCUAGAUGUCGGAUCGCAGUUUUCCAUUUGUAUUUCUCAAGGCCACGUAUGAACAUGUCGCUCAGCCAAUGAACGAUGAAUUAAAAUCGAAAUUAAGAAGAAACUCGAAAUCGAAACAUGUAGAGCUUUUUGGCACGUCGUGGUUGAAUAAAAUGCUUUAUGCUCCGGUUUGAAUCACUCCAAAAGUGUCCCUGCACAAAUUUAUUUGGCACGAUCUUCAUCGUCUACCACUCUUGAGGAUUCGCCCCGUUGCAAGAGGCAGAUUGCAUUUUCACUAUUCUUCGAGCCAGCAAAUGAAGAAUUCGUCGAAUCGUUAAUCAGGCCGAGGUGUCAGGAACGUGGGUAACGAGAGUGGCAGGGAUUGUACAAUUAGAAGUAGCCGGGAGCAGGUUGCACAGAGAAAUUGAACAAUCCUUUUGUUCACGUGUGAAUUUUUUUCUGCCUGGUACAUAAAGGAAAAUAAAAACAAAAUUGUAAUAAAGGCUGAGACGGAGAAAAAAGGCGCGGGAAAAAGAAUAAAGAAAAAUUGGCGAGUGGGCCGAGAGGUGGCUCGAGCGCGUCACUAAACCGCAGAGCGAGUGAAUAUGUGAUAUAGUGUGGAUG